rnacentral:rRNA from 1 species
UAUGUGAUCGUCUCUCGCAUAUCAAUAAGCGGAGGAAAAGAAACUAACAAGGAUUCCCCUAGUAACGGCGAGUGAAGCGGGAAGAGCUCAAAUUUGAAAUCUUAAAGGGUUUCCCUUUACGAAUUGUAGUUUAAAGAAGUGUUUUCUGUUGAGGUUUUGGUAAAAGUUCUUUGGAAUAGGACAUCAUAGAGGGUGAGAAUCCCGUAUUUGACCUUUACUUUCAACUUUGUGAUACACUUUCAAAGAGUCGGAUUGUUUGGGAAUGCAGUCCAAAAUGGGUGGUAAAUUUCAUCUAAAGCUAAAUAUUGGCGAGAGACCGAUAGCGAACUAAGUACCGUGAGGGAAAGAUGAAAAGAACUUUGAAAAGAGAGUUAAACAGUACGUGAAAUUGUCAGAAGGGAAGCGUUUGACACCAGUGUUGUUUUUCUGAAAAUCAAUUAAAGAACUGUUUAUGCUAAGCUGUUUAGACUUUAUCAGCUAUCUGUUUAGUUUUAGGCUUUUCUUUAAUGCACUUUUCAGUUAACAAGUCAACAUCAAUUUCUUUUGCUGUAAAAAAGCUUGAGGAAGGUGGCUUGAGAUUCGUCUUAAGUGUUUAUAGCCUCUUGCCUAUGCAGUCGGAGAGAUUGAGGUCUGCAGCGUAGAUCCUUCGGGGCUAAAUGCAUUUGUGCUAAGUUAUAGGCAUUUUAUAGACAACUUGUUGACUAUGAUUUGUCUUGUAGCUUACUCGCUUAUGUUAUUUUACCUACGCUUAGGAUGUUGAUCUACAGAGCGAGAGU